AACGCACAUUGCACUCUCCGGUAUUCCGGGGAGUACGCCUGUUUGAGUACCGAUAACUCUACCAUCCCACAAGUUGCGGGUCCGCCCAACACUUGAGCGAUGGAUUAGGCUGUCAGGCGACCCUACAGCAACUGUUGUAGGUCUCUGUAGCUAAAAUUGAUUGUCGGUUACCGUCGCCUCUUGAGGCUGACCUGACCCAAAGCGUGACAAUUCAGGCGAAAGCCAGAUUCAACCGCGAGUCAGUCAGAGAAGCAUCCACUCUUGAAGCGCAUCAACCCCCAAAAAUCACCCCAGUCUCAUGGGCAGUUUGCCAUUGAUUCUGAACACUUGGUCUCAAAUCAGGCGAGAGGACCCGCUGAACUUAA
rnacentral:misc_RNA from 1 species